CUCCCUCCCUGCCUCCCUGCCUCCCUGCCUGCCUCCCUCAUAAACACGGAAACACCAGGAAGCUGUUUGAGUGGAUGAGGCUGGCACGUACACUUCAGUCUGGUGACCAUCUUGAUUGGCAGCACCAUGGGAAACUCAACACUUGGAUAAAGAGCAGUGCAUAUGGUGAAUAUGGGAGACAAAUUUUGAAGCUGUAAUUCAGGUUGUCCAGCCUGUCUGUCCAUCCAGCCUGGAUCCUGGGAAGCCUGCUGGUGAAGACAUGACUCUCCAAGAGGGACUGCUGAAGUCACUUGAAGGAUGUCACACAAUGAGAUAUUCCAUGGGAGCCUGCUGCCUACGGCUGACACUUUGUUGAUAAGCCUUGUUUUUAAUUUCUCUGCUUUUCACCCCAAGGAAAUGUAAGAAUAUUUUCACACAUGUAGCGUUUCCAAGAAAAUGUUAAGGCAGCAUCAAGUAUUUGGGAGACAAAUUAAGGAAGAUUUAUACAAGACAAGCCAGUAAGAAUGAUGAGAAAAACAGUGCUGAGAGAAGAAAUAUUUCUGAGAAUUCUAGAUAUUCCCACUGUUGCUAUCAGCAAGUGGCCUAUAUUGUCACACUUGUGUGUUAAAUAAAUGCAGUGUGUUAAA